UGAUCAAAGGAUGAGAAAAUACUGCAACAAUAUGAUCUAUGAUCUGAUUCUUAGUAUUUAAGUCUCUGAUGAUG
rfam:Triticum urartu cultivar G1812 contig946886, whole genome shotgun sequence.